rnacentral:rRNA from 1 species
GACAGAGGCCUCAAGCGUUAGGCGGAAUCACUGGGCUUAAAGCGUGUGUAGGCGGAUCGUUAAGUGUCUUGUGAAAUCCCACGGCUCACCCGUGGAACUGCUGGGCAUACUGGCGAUCUUGGGCCAACUAGGGGCAACUGGAACAAGCGGUGGAGCGGUGAAAUGCGUAGAUAUCGCUUGGAACGCCAAAGGUGAAAACAGGUGCUGGGGUUGUGCCGACGCUG